UGAACGCUGGCGGCGUGCCUAAUACAUGCAAGUCGAGCGAACGGACGAGAAGCUUGCUUUUCUGAUGUUAGCGGCGGACGGGUGAGUAACACGUGGAUAACCUACCCAUAAGACUGGGAUAACUUCGGGAAACCGGAGCUAAUACCGGAUAAUAUUUUGAACCGCAUGGUUCAAAAGUGAAAGACGGUCUUGCUGUCACUUAUAGAUGGAUCCGCGCUGCAUUAGCUAGUUGGUAAGGUAACGGCUUACCAAGGCAACGAUGCAUAGCCGACCUGAGAGGGUGAUCGGCCACACUGGAACUGAGACACGGUCCAGACUCCUACGGGAGGCAGCAGUAGGGAAUCUUCCGCAAUGGGCGAAAGCCUGACGGAGCAACGCCGCGUGAGUGAUGAAGGUCUUCGGAUCGUAAAACUCUGUUAUUAGGGAAGAACAUAUGUGUAAGUAACUGUGCACAUCUUGACGGUACCUAAUCAGAAAGCCACGGCUAACUACGUG
rnacentral:rRNA from 1 species